rnacentral:tRNA from 1 species
ACUGGAAAUAGCUCAGCUGGGAGAGCGCUAGACCGAAGAUCUAGAGGUCCUUGGUUCAAUCCCGAGUUUCGGCA